rnacentral:lncRNA from 1 species
UGAGUCUUCAUUGCAGUACAUCGGUGAGCCACCUAUUCCAAUUCCAAUUCCCAUUUCAACUAAUAGGUUGUUACCUUCUUUGGUUCAGGUGCCCAAUCGAAUCCAAGUUGGUGGGAGAGUUUACAUUGACUUUAGAAAGCUCAACGCCACAAUCAGGAAGGAUCACUAUCGCCUUCCGUUCAUAGAUCCAAUGCAUGGAAGUUUUGAGGAGCAUGUCGUGAAGGAUGUACCUCUCCAUGCCAUUGGUUCUAGUGAAGCUUAAAUGGAGGUAUCAUCCGGCUGGAAGACGUUAAAGCAAGCGCUUCUUGGGAGGCAACCCAUGUGUUCAAAUAAAGAGACAAUGGAAUUUACGACUCCUACAACCAGAUUUGCUCUCUUUUACCCUUCUCUUUAUUGUUUUUACUUUGCUAUGAUUGUCUUUUUUGCUAGUUAUCUUUUGUUGCUUUCUUGUUUAAGUUUAUUUUUGAGACAUUGAGGACAAUGUUUGGUUUAAGUGUGUGGGGGUAAACAAAUUGCUUUCCAUGAUUUCUCUGCGAAUUUCACCAGCUAUCACUACUAACGUUGUUAUUCACUAUUUUAAAAUGUUUUCUUAUGUGUCAUAUAAAAAAAUUUUGAAAAAAAAAUCGAAAUUUUUUGAGAAAAUACCAAAAAAAUAUGUCGUUUUUGUUGCUUGUUUGUGUCUUAGGGUACCUUCCAACACAAUGAUGAGGAUUUGGUUUUUAAUUGCAUGACUGUUAAAGAAAGUUACAAACAUGGGUGGAAGAUUGAUAUGCUCUUUGGUUAAUACUUAGUUGUAGUUGUCAUUUACGAAUUCACAUGUAAUCACAAAGAGAAAAAAAAUCAGUUUUUGUAACAUGCUUGAAGGAAGAAACUAAAACUAACGCUAACAACCUUGUGAGACUUGAGCCUAUUCCUUGUUUUGUAGAGAUAAUAAUAUGUGAUAUUCUUGUUUUCUAAAGUUGUUGCAUGAUCUCAUUAUUUCUUUGCUUGGUUGCUACUUCGAAUGCUUUUUCAUCAUUUUAGUUCCAAAUACUAGAACUCAUGCCCGUUUCAUUCAAAGCAUAAAAUUGAUUGCAUAACAAAUAACAAGAUGAAGUUGUUUAGUUACCACUAGAGCCAAAAAGCCUUAUCCCUUGCAUACAUAUUGUAGGUUUAACCCCGUUGAGCCUUAUUUAGCCUAUUUUCUUUGUUAGCUUGCAUUAUCCCUACCUAGCCUAGUAUAGGAAUAUCCAUACCCUUGUUCUUAAAGAAUAGUGAAGCAUGACUUAUUGAGAAUUCCUUUUGAUCUAUGAUUUGCAGAAAAAUAAGUGUGGGGGAAGGAUUUGUUCUUUUGAAUCCGGUGAAGUAGUGCUUAUGUUUUAUGUUUCAAAACAAAAAAGAAAAAAAAAGAGAAAAACGUUGAAAAAGAAACAGAAAAGAAAGAAGAAGAAAAAAGUUGAGAAAAGGAAAAAAAAGAGGUUGAAAAGAAGUGAGAAUGAGUGCAUAAGUGUUGGUUGUCGAAGAAGGGUCCAAAAAUAUGAAUCUGACCCUAAAGUUGUACGAAUCUCCCCUUUGUGUUUAAAGUUGGGUGCUGCAAUCAAAAGUUGAAUUCUAAGUGUUGAUUUCAUACUUUGCAUACUAUCACUUUAAGAACAUUUGUUGAUCCUUAACCUCUCUUUGUUAGCCAAUACCUUAGCCCCAUUACAACCCUUAGACUUUUAUCUUGAUUGUUAUGUUAUUCAAUAUGUGGAGUUUGAAAUUGGUACGAGCAUAUGGAAUCCCUGGUUCUCGCUUCUAAGUAAUGGCAUUCCGUUCAUGAGAUCAUAUACAUGUUUGUAUUAAUAGAAUUCAGAAAGUGCCUUCUUUGUUAUAACAUAUGUGAGUGCUAGUCUACAUGUUUACAUCAAUCUUCUCACAUAUACUAGUAUAGGGAGUGUAGUUAGAAAAUCUGUGUGGAAAUAGAGAGUAUAUCCGGUGAGGAAUUGCGUGAAAUCUCUAAGGAAUGUUACUAUUUUCAAAUGUUGUUUUAAUUGAUUAAAUGCGAGCUGGUGAGUGGUUAUUGUGGUUAAGUAUAAGCUUAAGAGUAAGGAUGGCUAAAAUCUAUGUGAGUAGUGAUUUUUAACAUGUCAUGUUUCAUUGGAAAUCCCUGAGGCGAUUGUUGGAAGGUUUAGGUUUUGUUUUGUUUUCUUUGUUUCGCUCAGGGACUAGCAAAAGCUAACUAUGGGGGGAUUUGAUAGGAGCAUAUUUAUGCGACUUUGUUAUCUUAUUUCUUUGCAUUUAGUUAGUUCAUUUCCAUUUAUUAUCGUAAUUUAAAUUAUUUUCGUAUUAUUGUAGGUCCAAUUGGUAAAGAUGACAAUAAAUGGCAAAAUGGAGCAAUUUGGAGCAGUUUUGGACUUGGAUUGGAUAGCAUGCGUGUGGAGUAGGGGGCUGGACGUUUUUGGUGUUUUACAUGUGCUAAAUAUGUGCUAAAAUCUGGAGGAAUCAAAUUUGGAAGCUUAGAAGACAAGGAAAGACAUAAUCUUAUCUUACCUUAUCCAUACUUAUCUUAUCUUAUCCAAUUUACCUUAUCCAAACAUUAUCCUACUUUAUCCAACAUUAUCUCAUAUUAUCUCCAGUUGCAAAAGGAGUCCUUAUCCUAUUCUAAAUACUUCCCAUCUGAUUCUAGGAGUCAUAAUCCAUUCAAACACCCUAAUCCUUUUUCUCCUUGGUUUAUGCCGAACCUACCCUAUAUAUAUGUAUUUCUGCCGCAGCAAUUAGGGGAGAAAACUUGGUGUCGCACGUUCUAUUCCAAAUUGGUGCCGCAACCUGCAAGAGCCAAAGGAAAAUGAUUGUGCCGCAUCUUGUCAUUCAACCAUUGGAGAUUUCAGAGUUCUUUUUGUCCUUGCUUAGUUUCAAUGUGUAUUUUAGUUUGCUUUUCAAUUAUGAUGAACAUGUGUAACUAAAUUUCUUUUUAGCUAGAGGUGAAUUUGAAGCCAUGACCA